CCUACGGGAGGCAGCAGUGGGGAAUAUUGCACAAUGGGCGCAAGCCUGAUGCAGCCAUGCCGCGUGUGUGAAGAAGGCCUUCGGGUUGUAAAGCACUUUCAGCGGGGAGGAAGGCGGUGAGGUUAAUAACCUCAUCGAUUGACGUUACCCGCAGAAGAGGCACCGGCUAACUCCGUGCCAGCAGCCGCGGUAAUACGGAGGGUGCAAGCGUUAAUCGGAAUUACUGGGCGUAAAGCGCACGCAGGCGGUCUGUCAAGUCGGAUGUGAAAUCCCCGGGCUCAACCUGGGAACUGCAUUCGAAACUGGCAGGCUAGAGUCUUGUAGAGGGGGGUAGAAUUCCAGGUGUAGCGGUGAAAUGCGUAGAGAUCUGGAGGAAUACCGGUGGCGAAGGCGGCCCCCUGGACAAAGACUGACGCUCAGGUGCGAAAGCGUGGGGAGCAAACAGGAUUAGAUACCCCGGUAGUC
rnacentral:rRNA from 1 species